UAGGAAUUUGUGUUUCCUAAAACCUAUCCUCUCAACCUCGGUACAAUUGCAAACGUCCAAUUUUAUUCUUGAAUAAGCUACCUUCAAUUGUUUUAUUUUGGAGACUGAAGUCGGUCAAUCUUUGCGUAUAUUUUCGAUACAUUCGAUUCUACUUCUAACGCUACAUAUUAUGAUAAAUCCAGAAUCCUAGUAGUAGCCAAAAUGCCGUACAAAAAUAUUUACUACCAGUCGAAAAUCUACUUUGAUCGAGAGUAAAAAUUACACAGGCACAACGGGUUAUUACAAACAAAGUGUGCAUUGACAACAAACAACACGUCAAAAAUAUCGAUGGUGAUAUGCAAUUACCGAGAUGGGUGCGUAACAAGGUUCUAAUGUUGUUCAUGCUGUGGAUUUUUUACAUCAUGCACAUGGUGGUGUUUGAAUACGCGUAACGUCACAGGAAAAUCAUGGAACACACAGUAUCAAACAAUAGUAUAUUAUGUCCGUCCGAAACCUGAAUAGAAUGUGUUGAUUUUGGCGAGCUCUUUGUCGCAAAAGCUGAAGAACUUUUCGUCGAAUUUGGCAUAGUACCGCGAUAUGGAUUCGGAGUCUACUUGAUCGGUGGCCGGUACCUGCUCAAUGGCUGCGUACAACAUUUCUUUCAUUUCCUUGAACACGACGCGUUAAGAGAUAUUAUUCCAAUCGAUACACGACGACGGUGCUGGGGAAAAAAUAUUGUACAAACCGACCAAUGGAAAUAAAAA